rnacentral:snRNA from 1 species
UGGAAUUUUUGCUCUUUUAGUAUUUGUCUAGCAGGUUUCCUUAUUAAGGAAGCCCCC